rfam:Gammaproteobacteria bacterium RIFCSPHIGHO2_12_FTLL_41_15 rifcsphigho2_12_scaffold_3050, whole genome shotgun sequence.
AAGAGCCGUGUGUGGGAAAACUACAAGCACGGUUCUGUGGGAGCUUUCAUAACAAGUGAACUUAAAAUUAAUUUUAUGGAGUACAAGUUAUAAAUUCUACCCGAC